GAGAUAGCUCAGCCAGUAGAGCAUGAGAUUCUUAAUUUCCGGGCUGGGGGUUUGAGUCCCUUGUUGGACA